rnacentral:rRNA from 1 species
UACGGGGGGGGCAAGCGUUGUUCGGAAUUACUGGGCGUAAAGGGCCAGUAGGCGGCCAACUAAGUCCGACGUGAAAUCCCAAGGCUUAACCUUGGAACUGCGUCGGAUACUGGAUGGCUUGAAUUCGGGAGAGGGAUGCAGAAUUCCAGGUGUAGCGGUGAAAUGCGCAGAUAUCGGGAGGAACACCAAUGGCGAAGGCAGCUCGCUGGGACGUUACUGACGCUGAGACGCGAAAGCGUGGGGAGCAAACAGG